UACGUAGGGGGCAAGCGUUGUCCGGAAUCAUUGGGCGUAAAGCGCGUGUAGGCGGCCAGAAAAGUCCGCUGUGAAAACUCGAGGCUCAACUUCGAGCUGUCGGUGGAAACUUUCUGGCUAGAGUCCGGAAGAGGAGAAUGGAAUUCCUGGUGUAGCGGUGAAAUGCGCAGAUAUCAGGAAGAACACCCGUGGCGAAGGCGGUUCUCUGGGCCGAUAUUGACGCUGAGGAGCGAAAGCGUGGGGAGCGAACAGG
rnacentral:rRNA from 1 species